rnacentral:rRNA from 1 species
CUUGGUCCCUUAGAGGAAGUAAAAGUCGUAACAAGGUUUCCGUAGGUGAACCUGCGGAAGGAUCAUUAGUGAUUGCCAUCUUGGCUUAAACUAUAUCCAUCUACACCUGUGAACCGUUUGAUUGAAUCUCUGAUUCAGUUUUACAAACAAUGUGUAAUGAACGUCAUUAGAUCAUAAUAAAAAAAACUUUCAACAACGGAUCUCUUGGCUCUCGCAUCGAUGAAGAACGCAGCGAAAUGCGAUAAGUAAUGUGAAUUGCAGAAUUCAGUGAAUCAUCGAAUCUUUGAACGCAACUUGCGCUCUCUGGUAUUCCGGAGAGCAUGCCUGUUUGAGUGUCAUGAAAUCUCAACCAUUAGGGUUUCUUAAUGGCUUGGAUUUGGAGGUUGCCAUUCUAAAUGGCUCCUCUUAAAGGAGUUAGCAAGUUUAACUAUUGCUAUCUGGCGUAAUAAGUUUCGCUGGAAUGGUAUUGUGAAGCGUGCUUCUAAUCGUCUUCGGACAAUUACUUUGACUCUGGCCUCAAAUCAGGUAGGACUACCCGCUGAACUUAAGCAUAUCAAUAAG